GGACACUGAAGAAACAUUCGUCAUAAACAGCACUGGUCACUCCCAGCAGAGAUAACAUGACUGUAUGCAUGCCCAGGCAAGAUAUUAACUCUUUUACUGUGCACAUGAAACUUGCAAACAUUCAAUUCUCUCUUGAGUGAAAGAAAAGGAAAGAGUGAAGAUGUGUAGAAGACAACAUGAAGAUACCAAGCUGAUUUGCUGUGACAUCAAAGCCACAAGAAAACUGUUUCUUGAGUAGAAGUCUCCAUGGCAUGACAGGAGAGAUGCCUUUCCCUAGGUGAACUGAAGAAAGAUCACUUUUAGAGGUGGUAAACUGACUGAAAAUACCAGGUUUCCAAAGUAUUUUACUUUAAAGAGUUGACACAGGAAGAGAAAGCAUGAAGAAAAGAAAGAAAGAAAGAAAGAAAGAAAGAAAGAAAGAAAGAAAGAAAGAA